UACGUAGGGUGCGAGCGUUGUCCGGAAUUAUUGGGCGUAAAGAGCUCGUAGGCGGUUUGUCGCGUCUGUCGUGAAAACUGGAGGCUUAACCUUCAGCUUGCGGUGGAUACGGGCAGACUUGAGUUCGGUAGGGGAGACUGGAAUUCCUGGUGUAGCGGUGAAAUGCGCAGAUAUCAGGAGGAACACCGGUGGCGAAGGCGGGUCUCUGGGCCGAUACUGACGCUGAGGAGCGAAAGCGUGGGGAGCGAACAGG
rnacentral:rRNA from 1 species